rnacentral:lncRNA from 1 species
UUAGUUGUGCUAACGGGUUGAUUUUCUUCUUGUAUGGUGAGCUUGUCAAUAAUGAUUGAGCGAUUUGAAGAGGCUUCAGAUUAAGAGGAAGCAAAAUGAAGUUGAAAAAGCUAAGUGGGGAAUGCAGCUAAAUAGGCAGCUACAGCCAUCGUGUCUAGCGGCAAUGGGUGGAAAUUGGACAGAAAGCCUCAAGUGAGCUAAGUGAGCUUGUCUAUAAUGAUUGAGCGAUUUGAAGAGGCUUCAGAUUAAGAGGAAGCAAAAGGAAGUUGAAAAAGCUAAGUGAGCUAGUCUACCAGUUAGACCACAAACAUUCGUCUGGACAGAUGGAUCAAGCCACUAGUCUAGCAAAUUUGUGGCACAAGGUUUGUGUUACCCUCUUGCAGCACACUGACAGCACCUCAUUACCUCCCAA